UGGCCUGGGCGUGGCGGGAGGAGAAGGAAGAGAGGAUGUCAGAGCACCGACCCUCCUCCCCUGCGGCCCUACGGAGAGUCGCUCUUCCCCCUCCCGCUCCCAAGAGGCCGAAGGAGAGGGCACGGCCAGGAGGGCUCGGGAAGUCGGGUCCCGGGAAGCUGCCCGAGAAGCCUCUGGGAGAGGGCAGACACCAGUCCCGGGCACGUGAACCGCGCCGAGGGGCGAUGAAUGGGAAGGAAAGAGCAUGGAGUUUCUGGAGGAAUCGGAGGAAGAAUGGGAGACUUAGAGAGGGGCCUAGGAACGGAGGUCCGGUCCAGCAUCGGGGAAAGCCGCCUCAAGACAGUCCUGGUUGCCAAAUCUCUAGGCUGGUGGUCUUCUCCCCCGACCAGGCAACCCGAAACCCUGGCCUGGCUUACUUCCAGCGCAGGAUCUCCUCUGUGGCCAGGCGGAUGAGCUGGUGGAAGUCCACGUGCAGGGACGACCGACACAGCCGGGAUCGGUUCUUGGACCUCGUGAAGUGGAAGGGGAGCCCAAAGAAGAAGGAAAAGGGAUCCAGACCACAGCCCAACCACUAGCUCUCUUCCUCCGGGAUCUCUUCCCAGAGGAAAGGAAGGGCUCUCGGAUGGAUGCGGGAGGGGAAAGCGGGGACUCACUCUGGCCUGGCCGAGAUGCUGGUCGUCGUCCUCAUUCUCCGUUGGACCCUCAUCCGGGCUUGCCUCUUCCUCCUCUUCAAAGUAGCGGGGACCGGAGCUGAGGGGGUCCCCCGGAGCAGCGGAGGUGGCACGUGGCGAAGGUGGGAGGCAGCAGUUCUAACCAUCGACGUGGGUGCAGCUCCAGGGCUUCCACCGACAGCUGCACUGAGAAGGCCCUCUCGUGCCCGGAGCAGACCCUCCGACCCCCUCCGGGCCCCAACGCCUCGGGCUUGAGGUCGGCCAUCCCGAGUCCCUUCCCACUGGAACUUGGGUUUUCCAUCUUCUCUUCCUCCGCAUCUGGGCCCUCCAGCCUCUUGUCCCCUGGCAACGCCGGCCUCUCCUCAGCAGGAUCCAGGGCCUCCAAUCCCUCCAGCAGCUCUCCGUCACUCACCUCGGCAUCCUGUUGAGAAAGCCAGUCACGUUGGAGCAGGAAUCUCAUAUUCGCUGCCCUUACUUCAGCUCUACCUAUCUUUCUCCACAUCUAUCCUGUUUCACGCAUCGGCCCGCCAAUUUCGCAAGAGCGGAGAUCGCGUCUUCUUCCGCUCCCGCUGCCCGAACCCAGUAUCCCAGCUCGUCUGCCCCAGAUCACCCCUCGGAUCGUAAGCCUCUUGGGGACGGGGAUCCGGCCAGCGGUUAGAACGGUGCUUCGCACAUAGUGAGCGCUUAACAAAUACCAUCACCAUCAUCAUUCUCCCUCUCAUUCUCCCCACUCAGGCCCAGUACGAAGUUCUGCCCAUGGCAGGUGGCAGAACCAGUGACAAGCGGGGCCAGAUGUCUCUCCUUGCCUUUCAUUUCCCCCUCUAGUCCGUAAACUCAUUGUGGGCAGCAAACACAUCUACCGACCCUGUUGGUCUGUACUUUCCCAAGCGCUUUACAGUGCUCUGCACCUGGUAGGCGGUCAAUAAAUACCGCCGAUUGACGCUCAUCCGCAGAGAAGGUUGGCCGGGGGGAGGUUCUGCAGCCCACCAGGGCCCGGGAUUGGGUUUUCUCCUACCAGGUUCCCCUCUCGCCUCGUAUCCGGCUCACCAACGCUUGC